rnacentral:rRNA from 1 species
GACGAACGCUGGCGGCGUGCUUAACACAUGCAAGUCGAACGGAAAGGCUCCAGCUUGCUGGCGUACUCGAGUGGCGAACGGGUGAGUAACACGUGGGUAAUCUGCCCUGCACUCUGGGAUAAGCCUGGGAAACUGGGUCUAAUACUGGAUAUGACCUUUCUCCUUAUGGGGUUUGGUGGAAAGUUUUUCGGUGUAGGAUGAGCCCGCGGCCUAUCAGCUUGUUGGUGGGGUGAUGGCCUACCAAGGCGACGACGGGUAGCCGGCCUGAGAGGGUGAUCGGCCACAUUGGGACUGAGAUACGGCCCAGACUCCUACGGGAGGCAGCAGUGGGGAAUAUUGCACAAUGGGCGGAAGCCUGAUGCAGCGACGCCGCGUGAGGGAUGACGGCCUUCGGGUUGUAAACCUCUUUCAGCAGGGACGAAGCGUAAGUGACGGUACCUGCAGAAGAAGCACCGGCUAACUACGUG